rnacentral:lncRNA from 10 species
AGUAUUUUGGACAGAUCACUGAACUAGGAGCCAGAAGACCAGAAUUCUUCUCCAGGUCUGUUAUUAAUUGGUUUGGUGACCUUGUAGGAGAGCCACUGUUUUGGUCCUCCAUUUUCUGAUGUUCAUUGUUCAUGGUCACAGAGCCAAUUAGAGUUGAGACUAGAAUUCCUUUCUUCUGGUGUCCAGUGCCUCAUUCACUGUCCACAUUGCUUCCAUCUCGUGUACAAAUGCGCUUAUGUGCACAAAAACUCUUAUAACAUCCUCAAG